ACCGUGGGAUAUUUAUAAUAUCUCACGCGUGACGAGUGGACACCACGCUCUGAAACAGUAUGGCGUACUCGAGCAGUUGUUUCUAAUUCCGUAUAGUCUAGGACCUGUAUAGGAGUUUGUAUGCGUUUCAUUUAGCACAGGUAAUCUCAACUGUUUUAGGGUAAAAUUACCAUUGGCGGUCAACAUGGCAUAUGUGCCAAAACCUGACUAAUCCGGGACGAAAGUCCUGAAAAUUACCCUCGCCC
rnacentral:lncRNA from 1 species